CUUUGCUUAUGGCAAUGGAACCAUAGAAAACAUUGGUUUCUAAAACACUUUAUGUUCUCUUGGUUUUACCAAAGUUGCUUAAUGCUUAUACUAACAACUAAACUGACCUUGGGAGACAUUUGAAUGCUACAGGAUCUUAAUACAAUUGAUUGCUACACAAGGCCCUGGGUGGACGGCGGCGUCUCCUCUGUGGUGCAAUUUGG
rnacentral:lncRNA from 11 species